UCUCCGUUGGUGAACCAGCGGAGGGAUCAUUACCGAGUUUACAACUCCCAAACCCCUGUGAACAUACCUAUCGUUGCUUCGGCGGGAUCGCCCCGGCGCCUUCGGGCCCGGACCCAGGCGCCCGCCGGAGGACCCAAACUCUCGUCUUUUUUAGUAUUCUUCUGGGUAAAACAAGCAAAUAAAUCAAAACUUUCAACAACGGAUCUCUUGGUUCUG
rnacentral:misc_RNA from 1 species